GAGAUGCAGCUGGAAGCCAUGACUACCGCACACCAGACUCCACUCCUGCAAUUAGGACAGACAGACAGGGAUGGAGAGAGAGGAGAGACAGAGAAGCUACCUAGGACCAGCAGGCCUCAUCUGAGACAAACCAGUUUGUUCCUAUUGAGUUGUCACCUCACCGACAGACAGACGAUGCUCUCUGAGACAAAAUGGCUUCCAGGGCAGAGGAGGAUUUCUGCUGUUCAGUCUGUCAUGAAGUCUUUAGUGAUCCUGUUGUUCUGUCAUGUAGCCACAGCUUCUGUAAAGACUGUCUGAAGACCUGGUGGAGAGAGAAACCAACACAGGAGUGUCCAGUUUGUAAGAGAAGAUCUUUGUAUGAACCACCUCGUAACCUGGAGUUGAAGAAGCUGUGUGAGAGUUUCUUACAGCAGAGAGAUCAGAGAGCUUCAGAGGCUCUCUGCAGUCUGCACUCUGAGAAACUCAAACUCUUCUGUCUGGACCAUCAGCAGCCAGUGUGUGUCGUCUGCAGAGAUUCAGAAAAACACUCCAACCACAGAUUAAGACCCAUCGAUGAAGCUGCGCGACAACACAGGAAGAAACUUCAGGUAACUCUGGAGCCCUUUUAAAGGAGAAGAUAAAGGUUUUUGAACAUGUUAAAGUCAAGUGUGAUCAAUCAGCAGAACACCUGAAGGUCCAGGCACGAUGCACAGAGACCCAGAUUAAGGAUCAGUUUAAGAAGCUUCACCAGUUUCUAGAAGAGGAAGAGGAGGCCAGGAUGGCUGCACUGAGGAAGGAAGAGAAGCAGAAGAGUCAGAGGAUGAAGGAGAAGAUGGAGGCUCUGAGCAGAGAGAUAGCAGCUCUUUCAGACACAGUCAGAGACACAGAGGAGCAGCUGAGAGCUGAAGACAAACACUGCUUAUACAAAACUCAUCCUGUCUGAAGAUCGGACCAGUGUGAGAUGUUGAGAAGAACAGCAGCUUCCUGAUAAUCCAGAGAGGUUUGAUUAUCACGUCUCUGUCCUGGGCUCUGAGUGCUUUAACUCAGGGACUCACAGCUGGGAUUUUUAGGUUGGAGACAGUACAUACUGGCUACUGGGUGUUAGAAUAGUCUGUCCAGAGGAAGGGAGACAUAAAGUCUGAAUGAUGGGAAACAGGGUUAAGUGAAGGUGAAUACUUUGCUCUGUCUCCACCAGCUCCAGAUAUUGAUCUCCUGUUUACGAAGCAGCUCCAGAGGAUCAGAGUGACUCUGGACUGGAACAGAGGAAAGCUGUCCUUCUCUGAUCCUGAUUACUAACACACAUAGACAACUUCACACACACACUUUCACUGAGAAGCUGUUUCCAUACAUUUACACUGGGGGUAAUCUGAAGAUAUCACCACUAAAGGUCUGUGUGACAGAACAGGUCUGAUAGUCGGUAGUUUUAGGGUGGUGAUGAUGAUAAUAAUAGUAAACAACUAUUCACUUCCUAAAUGUUAAUGUGGUCCAUCUAUUAUAUAUAGAAUGAAUAUAAACAGAAUAAUGGUUGUUAAUAUAAAGGGUAGUUAACAUCUACUUGUGUAACUCUCUUAUAAGAAUGUUUACCUGCUUCCGUAUUUUCCAAGUUAACCUGCCGGUUUCAUACUGAUGUUUAUACAUGUAAAUAUAGAUGUUUAGAUGAAACCUUAAUAUUGUUGUUCUGUUCUAGCCUGUGAUCCGUUUAAAUUGUUGAUUGUUUUAGUGUUUGUCUGUGUGUAGUUUUGAUAUAAGUCAAUAUUUUAAGAUUAUACCUGAUUAUUUUGAGAUGCUGAGCAGAGAUGAAUAAAUUAAAAUGAUAAAUUUAAA